UGAUAACUCCUUAUCCUAUGAUCCAUGAGAUGUGAUCAUCAGUCUAUCUUCAUAAUAGUCUCUAUGUUUUAUUAUUAUCCCAAUUCAUAAUAAAACUCGACUACGGAUACUUUAAGAAUAGUUAAAUGGAGUCAACUAUUCUAGGGACUUUAUCAUUUUGGACAUACAAACAUAAUAAAGAUAUGCCUUUUAUUUAUUAAUAAUAGAUUGAAACAAGCAUCAAAAGUAUUGGCCUCUAGGGCUUACACCAACAAUAUGCCUAUAUGAUUGCAAAUUAAUAAUAAUUAAAAUCACGUACAUUCUCAACACUCAUCACAAAAUAUCUGCAGUCAAUAACGUUAGUUUAACGGGGACACUGAAAAAAAAUCAUCACAAUAACAUCUCUAUUAUUAUAACCGUUAUACUCACUUGUUAUUUUUGCUUGGCAGCUUCAUAGUUAGAGGCUAUGGUAUCCUUAAUUGCAUUUGCUAUGUUACUUGCUUUCUCUACAACAUUGUUCUUCAUUUCUUUCGCCUUCU
rnacentral:lncRNA from 1 species